ACUCCCUCUAUUGCCUCUCCAGACCCAGACUUCACCCUCAGGUCACCCUCACCUGGACUUUGGGGUGCCCCACACCCCGCCCCAGGCCCUGGCCUCUGGAAUAUUUGGAAACUUGAACUGGGCCAGAGGCUUAAGCUCACAUCUGUCUGGAGCCUCAACUUUCUCCUCUGUAAAAUGGGCUAACACUGAAAGAACCUUGCAGAAUCUCAGCAACGUCACAGAGGACAUUGUUAGCACAGCCAGCGGGCUCCUGCUGGGCUGAGUUUGUGGGUAAUCCAAGCCUCGGCAGGUACAGUUCCUCCCUCAGGUGAGUGUUCCACCCCCAAGUGAGCAUCCUGCUGCCCUUCCUGCAAAUCAGGCCCCUGGGACACUUAGUGCUGAGCCUUGGGGGUGGGGUAUUUGAUCGGGGUUCCUGACAAGUGGCUGGGUUGUCUGUUCCCUCUCUUCAGAGGGAGCCUCCAUGGGUGGCCUGGGCUCACAUCGGCUCCUCCAGUCCAGCAGAGCACCCCCCCCUGGCUGCCCAGCUUGUUGAGAGAACUUGCUGAGCAGGACAGUGAGCCCUUCCUGGUGGGGAACCGGAAUCAGGAGAAGACAGAGGGGAGGUGGCAGGCCCCAGGAUGGAGGGAGGGCAGCUGAGCUGCCUGCCCUCAUCCUCCCUGCCCUUCAGGUAUUAGGGCCCUUCCCAUGGCCCAGUAGGAACCCAGCGGCUCACCUGAGCCCGGACUAAGGAUGGGGCAUUUUACCCCAUAUGCAGAGAUGAGAAACAGAGGCCCAAGGAGGGAAGGGACUGAACACAGGGUGGAACAGCCCUGGGCUGCGCCUGUGUUUCCAUCCGCCUUCCUCCUGCCUGUGCUCGAGUCACGUGCUGGUGUGCAGGGAACAGGAAGACAGCCGCUGCCCUCACAGGCUCAGGGUCUAGCAGAGUCCACAGUGACCACAGGCGAAUAAACAAAGGCAGUGAGACAGAGCCCAGUGCAGAUGCAUCUGACUUACGAAACUUCAGUGACACCUGCUCUGUGCCAGACACUGAAGAUGGAGCAGUGAACAGCACUGACCCAGCCUGUCCUCCUGUUGCCUGCAGGCCAGGUAGGAAACACACUGGAAACUGAUAACUCCAUGUGCUCAUCGCCAUGUGGUUUCUGCUGGUCUGGGGAGCCGGGGACAAAGAGCAGAAAACAUGGUUCCAGGUAGAGGGGGGUAGCACGCAUGAAGACCGUGAGGCAGAAAGCACACAAAACUGAAUUGGAGAGAAGGCCCAAAUGGCUAGAGCUCAGAACCCGAGGAGAGGAGAGGGGAGGAAAGGAGAGACCUCCAGAGCCUGGGGAUGAUAUGUAGAGAGCCCGGGAACCAGCGCUGGUUAGAGAGGGAAGGAAGCCUGCAGCCUUGCAUUUUAGAAAGAUCUGGCUGGCUGAGC
rnacentral:lncRNA from 10 species